rnacentral:tRNA from 1 species
GGAUCGAUAGCUCAGUGGUAGAGGUUAGUACUAGUAAUCUCUAGGUCACGCGUUCGAUCCGCGUUCGGUCCU